rnacentral:rRNA from 1 species
UGCAGUCGAGCGGAUGAAGGGAGCUUGCUCCUGGAUUCAGCGGCGGACGGGUGAGUAAUGCCUAGGAAUCUGCCUGGUAGUGGGGGAUAACGUCCGGAAACGGGCGCUAAUACCGCAUACGUCCUGAGGGAGAAAGUGGGGGAUCUUCGGACCUCACGCUAUCAGAUGAGCCUAGGUCGGAUUAGCUAGUUGGUGGGGUAAAGGCCUACCAAGGCGACGAUCCGUAACUGGUCUGAGAGGAUGAUCAGUCACACUGGAACUGAGACACGGUCCAGACUCCUACGGGAGGCAGCAGUGGGGAAUAUUGGACAAUGGGCGAAAGCCUGAUCCAGCCAUGCCGCGUGUGUGAAGAAGGUCUUCGGAUUGUAAAGCACUUUAAGUUGGGAGGAAGGGCAGUAAGUUAAUACCUUGCUGUUUUGACGUUACCAACAGAAUAAGCACCGGCUAACUUCGUGCCAGCAGCCGCGGUAAUACGAAGGGUGCAAGCGUUAAUCGGAAUUACUGGGCGUAAAGCGCGCGUAGGUGGUUCAGCAAGUUGGAUGUGAAAUCCCCGGGCUCAACCUGGGAACUGCAUCCAAAACUACUGAGCUAGAGUACGGUAGAGGGUGGUGGAAUUUCCUGUGUAGCGGUGAAAUGCGUAGAUAUAGGAAGGAACACCAGUGGCGAAGGCGACCACCUGGACUGAUACUGACACUGANGUGCGAAAGCGUGGGGAGCAAACAGGAUUAGAUACCCUGGUAGUCCACGCCGUAAACGAUGUC